rnacentral:rRNA from 1 species
GAUGAACGCUGGCGGCGUGCCUAAUACAUGCAAGCCGAGCGAACGGACGAGAAGCUUGCUUCUCUGAUGUUAGCGGCGGACGGGUGAGUAACACGUGGAUAACCUACCUAUAAGACUGGGAUAACUUCGGGAAACCGGAGCUAAUACCGGAUGAUAUUUUGAACCGCAUGGUUCAAAAGUGAAAGACGGUCUUGCUGUCACUUAUAGAUGGAUCCGCGCUGCAUUAGCUAGUUGGUAAGGUAACGGCUUACCAAGGCAACGAUGCAUAGCCGACCUGAGAGGGUGAUCGGCCACACUGGAACUGAGACACGGUCCAGACUCCUACGGGAGGCAGCAGUAGGGAAUCUUCCGCAAUGGGCGAAAGCCUGACGGAGCAACGCCGCGUGAGUGAUGAAGGUCUUCGGAUCGUAAAACUCUGUUAUUAGGGAAGAACAUAUGUGUAAGUAACUGUGCACAUCUUGACGGUACCUAAUCAGAAAGCCACGGCUAACUACGUGCCAGCAGCCGCGGUAAUACGUAGGUGGCAAGCGUUAUCCGGAAUUAUUGGGCGUAAAGCGCGCGUAGGCGGUUUUUUAAGUCUGAUGUGAAAGCCCACGGCUCAACCGUGGAGGGUCAUUGGAAACUGGAAAACUUGAGUGCAGAAGAGGAAAGUGGAAUUCCAUGUGUAGCGGUGAAAUGCGCAGAGAUAUGGAGGAACACCAGUGGCGAAGGCGACUUUCUGGUCUGUAACUGACGCUGAUGUGCGAAAGCGUGGGGAUCAAACAGGAUUAGAUACCCUGGUAGUCCACGCCGUAAACGAUGAGUGCUAAGUGUUAGGGGGUUUCCGCCCCUUAGUGCUGCAGCUAACGCAUUAAGCACUCCGCCUGGGGAGUACGACCGCAAGGUUGAAACUCAAAGGAAUUGACGGGGACCCGCACAAGCGGUGGAGCAUGUGGUUUAAUUCGAAGCAACGCGAAGAACCUUACCAAAUCUUGACAUCCUUUGACAACUCUAGAGAUAGAGCCUUCCCCUUCGGGGGACAAAGUGACAGGUGGUGCAUGGUUGUCGUCAGCUCGUGUCGUGAGAUGUUGGGUUAAGUCCCGCAACGAGCGCAACCCUUAAGCUUAGUUGCCAUCAUUAAGUUGGGCACUCUAAGUUGACUGCCGGUGACAAACCGGAGGAAGGUGGGGAUGACGUCAAAUCAUCAUGCCCCUUAUGAUUUGGGCUACACACGUGCUACAAUGGACAAUACAAAGGGCAGCGAAACCGCGAGGUCAAGCAAAUCCCAUAAAGUUGUUCUCAGUUCGGAUUGUAGUCUGCAACUCGACUACAUGAAGCUGGAAUCGCUAGUAAUCGUAGAUCAGCAUGCUACGGUGAAUACGUUCCCGGGUCU